GAUGAACGCUGGCGGCGUGCCUAAUACAUGCAAGUCGAGCGAACGGACGAGAAGCUUGCUUCUCUGAUGUUAGCGGCGGACGGGUGAGUAACACGUGGAUAACCUACCUAUAAGACUGGGAUAACUUCGGGAAACCGGAGCUAAUACCGGAUAAUAUUUUGAACCGCAUGGUUCAAAAGUGAAAGACGGUCUUGCUGUCACUUAUAGAUGGAUCCGCGCUGCAUUAGCUAGUUGGUAAGGUAACGGCUUACCAAGGCAACGAUGCAUAGCCGACCUGAGAGGGUGAUCGGCCACACUGGAACUGAGACACGGUCCAGACUCCUACGGGAGGCAGCAGUAGGGAAUCUUCCGCAAUGGGCGAAAGCCUGACGGAGCAACGCCGCGUGAGUGAUGAAGGUCUUCGGAUCGUAAAACUCUGUUAUUAGGGAAGAACAUAUGUGUAAGUAACUGUGCACAUCUUGACGGUACCUAAUCAGAAAGCCACGGCUAACUGCGU
rnacentral:rRNA from 1 species